rnacentral:rRNA from 1 species
GACGAACGCUGGCGGCGUGCUUAACACAUGCAAGUCGAACGGAAAGGCCUCUUUCGGGGGGUACUCGAGUGGCGAACGGGUGAGUAACACGUGAGUAACCUGCCCUUGACUUUGGGAUAACUUCAGGAAACUGGGGCUAAUACCGGAUAGGAGCUCCUGCUGCAUGGUGGGGGUUGGAAAGUUUCGGCGGUUGGGGAUGGACUCGCGGCUUAUCAGCUUGUUGGUGGGGUAGUGGCUUACCAAGGCUUUGACGGGUAGCCGGCCUGAGAGGGUGACCGGCCACAUUGGGACUGAGAUACGGCCCAGACUCCUACGGGAGGCAGCAGGGGGGAAUAUUGCACAAGGGGUGGAAGCCUGAUGCAGCAACGCCGUGUGCGGGAGGACGGCCUUCGGGUUGUAAACCGCUUUCGCUCAUGACGAAGCUUUGUGUGACGGUAGUGGGUAAAGAAGCACCGGCUAACUACGUG